rnacentral:rRNA from 1 species
GACAGAGGUCCCAAGCGUUAGGCGGAAUCACUGGGCUUAAAGCGUGUGUAGGCGGACUUCUAAGUACCUUGUGAAAUCCCACGGCUCAACCGUGGAACUGCUUGGUAUACUGGUUGUCUUGGGCCAUCUAGGGGCUAGCGGAACAAACGGUGGAGCGGUGAAAUACGUAGAUAUCGUUUGGAACGCCAAUGGUGAAAACAGCUAGCUGGGGAUGUGCCGACGCUGAGACACGAAAGCCAGGGGAGCGAACGGG